UCCCCUGUAGCUCAGUACGGUAGAGCAGGUGGCUGUUAACCACCCUGUCGGCGGUUCAAAUCCGUCCGGGGGAGCUA
rnacentral:tRNA from 1 species